GAUGAACGCUGGCGGCGUGCCUAAUACAUGCAAGUCGAGCGAACAGACGAGGAGCUUGCUCCUUUGACGUUAGCGGCGGACGGGUGAGUAACACGUGGGUCACCUACCUCUAAGACUGGGAUAACUUCGGGAAACCGGAGCUAAUACCGGAUAAUAUUUCGAACCGCAUGGUUCGAUAGUGAAAGAUGGCUUUGCUAUCACUUAUAGACGGACCCGCGUCGUAUUAGCUAGUUGGUAAGGUAACGGCUUACCAAGGCAACGAUACGUAGCCGACCUGAGAGGGUGAUCGGCCACACUGGAACUGAGACACGGUCCAGACUCCUACGGGAGGCAGCAGUAGGGAAUCUUCCGCAAUGGGCGAAAGCCUGACGGAGCAACGCCGCGUGAGUGAUGAAGGUCUUCGGAUCGUAAAACUCUGUUAUUGGGGAAGAACAAACGUGUAAGUAACUGUGCACGUCUUGACGGUACCUAAUCAGAAAGCCACGGCUAACUACGUG
rnacentral:rRNA from 1 species